CUUGUGGAUUGUUAUAUAAACUCAAGUAGCUGUUAAUAAUUUAAUAGUAGAACGGGGACAGGAAGAAGCAAGAA
rnacentral:sRNA from 12 species